CCCUUAGAUGUUCUGGGCCGCACGCGCGCUACACUGACGAUGGCAACGAGUCUUUCCUUCGCCGAAAGGUGUGGGUAAUCUUUUGAAACAUCGUCGUGCUGGGGAUAGAUCAUUGCAAUUUUUGAUCUUGAACGAGGAAUUCCUAGUAAGCGCGAGUCAUCAGCUCGCGUUGAUUACGUCCCUGCCCUUUGUACACACCGCCCGUCGCUACUACCGAUUGAAUGGUUUAGUGAGGACUCCUGAUUGGCGCCGCCGCCCCGGCAACGGAGCAGCGGACUGCCGAAAAGUUGUUCAAACUUGAUCAUUUAGAGGAAGUAAAAGUCGUAACA
rnacentral:rRNA from 1 species